GUGCCAGCAGCCGCGGUAAAACGUAGGUCCCGAGCGUUAUCCGGAUUUACUGGGCGUAAAGCGCGUGCAGGCGGCUCCGCAAGUCGGGCAUGAAAUCUCUCGGCUCAACCGGGAGAGGUUGUCCGAUACUGUGGGGCUUGAGGACGGAAGAGGCGGGUGGAAUUCCGCAUGUAGUGGUGAAAUGCGUAGAGAUGCGGAGGAACACCAGUGGCGAAAGCGGCCCGCUGGCCCGCUCCUGACGCUCAGACGCGAAAGCUCGGGGAGCGAACGGGAUUAGAUACCCGGGUAGUCC
rnacentral:rRNA from 1 species